rnacentral:rRNA from 1 species
GACGAACGCUGGCGGCGUGCUUAACACAUGCAAGUCGAACGGAAAGGCCCUGCUUUUGUGGGGUGCUCGAGUGGCGAACGGGUGAGUAACACGUUAGUAACCUGCCCUUGACUUUGGGAUAACUUCAUGAAACUGGGGCUAAUACCGGAUAGGAGCUCCUGCUGCAUGGUGGGGGUUGGCACGUUUCGGCGGUUGGGGAUGGACUCGCGGCUUAUCAGCUUGUUGGUGGGGUAGUGGCUUACCAAGGCUUUGACGGGUAGCCGGCCUGAGAGGGUGACCGGCCACAUUGGGACUGAGAUACGGCCCAGACUCCUAAGGGAGGAAGCAGUGGGGAAUAUUGAACAAUGGGCGGAAGCCUGAUGCAGCAACGCCGCGUGCGGGAUGACGGCCUUCGGGUUGUAAACCGCUUUCGCCUGUGACGAAGCGUGAGUGACGGUAAUGGGUAAAGAAGCACCGGCUAACUACGUG